rfam:Puccinia triticina 1-1 BBBD Race 1 supercont2.146, whole genome shotgun sequence.
CCCCCGAUAGCUCAGUUGGAAGAGCGCGAGACUGUAAUGGCUGUAAGAGGAUUCCGUAAAAUCAUCUUGAGGUCGCUGGUUCGAUCCCGGCUCGGGGGA